rnacentral:rRNA from 1 species
GAUGAACGCUGGCGGCGUGCUUAACACAUGCAAGUCGAACGAUGAAGCCCAGCUUGCUGGGUGGAUUAGUGGCGAACGGGUGAGUAACACGUGAGUAACCUGCCCUUAACUCUGGGAUAAGCCUGGGAAACUGGGUCUAAUACCGGAUAGGAGCGUCCACCGCAUGGUGGGUGUUGGAAAGAUUUAUCGGUUUUGGAUGGACUCGCGGCCUAUCAGCUUGUUUGUGAGGUAAUGGCUCACCAAGGCGACGCCGGGUAGCCGGCCUGAGAGGGUGACCGGCCACACGGGGACUGAGACACGGCCCAGACUCCUACGGGAGGCAGCAGUGGGGAAUAUUGCACAAUGGGCGCAAGCCUGAUGCAGCGACGCCGCGUGAGGGAUGACGGCCUUCGGGUUGUAAACCUCUUUCAGUAGGGAAGAAGCGAAAGUGACGGUACCUGCAGAAGAAGCACCGGCUAACUACGUG